CCCUAGGUGGUGCAAUGGUUAGCACACUUGGCUGCUAACUGAAAGGUUGGAGGUUUGAGUCCACCCAGAGGCA
rnacentral:tRNA from 1 species